UAGUUUACACCAUUCAAAUGCCAAGGGAACGCCCAAAUUAUCUCUUUUAUUGAAUGCAUACUGUUUAUCGACUCUCUGGUAGUGUUGCACAAUACCCACAUUGGCCUGACGUAAUUAGCGAGCAACGACGUAUAUUUUGUUUAUGUGUGCCCGUGCCCGUCCCUUCGCCCCCUCGUCUGAAGGAAACUGCUGCGACUCCGAUGACCACUUCAAGCUCCGGAAACUGACAACUCCGCCGCCAGCCCGAUACCCUCCUUCCGCCCCGAUGUGAAUCAUCUGUUGCUGAUCUCACAAAUCGCGGCCGAAAUCACCAAAAUUCCUCGUAUUUCUGAGCCCACAAAAUGAACCGCUCAGAACCGAUUCCCAUUCGGCGAGAUCGCUCCUUCGACAGCGUGCUCAACCGGCUGCUGCGUAUGCGUUCUCAGAACCAUGAGAGCUUCCGUGCUGCCAUGUACAACUUUCUUAUCGCUGCCGGCGUGGGAGCGUUUGUAGCCGUCUGCUUCAUCCUGGGACCCUUCGUGCGCCCGCUUCUCUGGGCCUUCCUCAUGGGCGCGGUCCUCUUCCCAUUUAAGCGACGGCUGGCGGAGAGCGUGAAUAGCUGGUUCCAGCGGCUGGAAGAGCGCGACUGCAACGUUUUGGUCUCUAUUUGCCUUUCGCCUUUGGAGGCCACGGAACACUGCGGCCGGCUGCUGAUAGGAUGGCUUUGCGAGCACUGGCAGCUGCUUCUGGCCGGAUGCGGAGUGGCUGGAUGCAUCAAGCUGCUGGUACUAUACGCUCCAAAGGGUUUCCUGCUGGCCUUGUGGCACUGGAUAACCUUUUCGCACGGCCUGUUUGUCCAGAUAAUUGGAUACCUCAACGUCUAUGUGCUCAUCGCCCUGGUACUGGUCUAUCUAACGUGCGUCCAUUUCUUCUGGAAGCCGGAGAAUAGUGCUCAUUUUGUUGUCGCUGGGCAGUCCAUGUGGAUAGCCAUAGCUGGAUAUCUAAGCAGCUUUUUGGGCGCCCUCCAGGUGCCUGUGUUCCUCCUAGUCAUGGCCUAUGUUACUGCAUCUACGGCAUACCAUCUUCAAACAAGGGAAGAGUCUGGAUCCUACCUAGAUCGCCUGCAAAAAUUGUUCGAUAGAAACGAUUUCGAACGUUCCUUAAGUAAUUUUAGCAUUUGUGGAAGGUUAGGUAGCGAGCCCCCACUCAGUCCACAGUCGGAGGUGGAGGACAUCUCUCUUAGUGACACAGUCGACUCAACGGACACCUUCGAUGCGAAGCACGGAGCCGAGAUUGAGGGCCACCAGAGUGAUACCUUCUUUAAACUAUUGUUCUACGCCUGCCUAGGGACAUUCCUAUAUCGCAACGUCUGGAUGUUUAUCCUGGCAGCCAUUCCCAUCUUGCUCCACCUCAUAUACACGAUAGGCGUUUAUACGGGGAUCACCCAGUUUGCCUGCAGCAAGAUCAACGAAGUUUACCUGGCACUGCGGUCGUGGGCGAUCGAACAUCAUUCCGCCGUUUUACCGCUAUGCCUUCCUGGUGUCCUAGAGCUGAAUUAUAAGAUCAAUACGAUCGUGCGAGACUCACUUAAGUCUUCCGUGGAGUCGGUCACUUCCAUUCUCAUGAUCAUUCUCAUGCUGCUCAUCAUAGUGUUUCUAAGCGUGUUCUUCUGCGUGAACAUAUACUCGGAGACGAUCGAGGUGGCCUACUUGGGCAAGGAUCUAAUUAACAAGACGAUCACAGAUCGGCCUGAGCUAAUUGAUAUCUUGCCCGCCAACAUGCAGGCGUCCAUCGAUGAUGCGCUAGAUAAUGCGCACCAUUAUGGGCGCCGUAAGAUCGAGACAUAUAUCGACGACUGGCUGGCGGACGCGGACAAGGUGCACGCUACUAAGCUGAAGGAACAGAUCCUCGAUGUCUGGGAUAGGCUUAUUCAGUACUGGAUCGAUUUCAGCAAGGCAGAUACCUCCUAUGGCCCAAGGGUUCCAACGGACGCACUGAAGAGCACCUUUGGCGAGAUCGUCGACAAUCCAGGACAUUUUAAAGAGCUAGUUUUAGUGGCGAAACAGGGCAUCAUUGGAUGGGCGCAGAGCAAUACGCAGACUAUCCUCGAGGUCGCAGAAUCCUUGUGGCACAUUAUACGCACCAAUCUGUCGAUGAUCAUGGGCGUGACAGGCGAAAUUCUGUCACUAUUGCUUUCCGGCGGACAGGCGUGCAUUGAGUUUAUCUUGGAUAUGAUUGUCUUCUUUACGGCCCUUUUCUAUCUGCUUUCAAGUAGUCAGGAGAAGUAUGCUCCGCUGCAAAUUACCAAAUACUUGGGAUACUCCAGUUCGGGCAUUAAGAUUGCUGAUGCCCUAGAGAACUCCAUUACGGUGGUCUUAGUCUCAAUGUUUAAGUGUUCUACGUUUACGGGCUUAUUUACCUGGCUGGUGCAUACGGUUUUUGGAGCACGGAUAGUUUUCCUGCCGUCCGCUGUGGCUGCCAUGCUGGCAGCGGCUCCUUUCCUGGGAAGCUAUUGGUGCGCUGUUCCUGCUUUCCUGGAGCUCUGGUUAGCCCAGGAUCGCUUCUAUGCCGGACUGAUACUAUUCCUGCUGCAAUUCUUUGUGCCGUCAUCUUUUGAGACGGCCAUAUAUGCAGACCUCAAGGGUGGUGGUCAUCCCUACCUGAAUGGUCUGGCCAUCGCCGGUGGCAUGUACUGGAUUGGAUGGCAGGGAGCCAUUUUCGGACCACUGAUGCUCUGCUUUUUCAUUGGUCUCUUUGAGGUGGCCACUUUGGCGAUGCGCAGCCAUCAAGAAACUAGGUAACUCUUAGUCUUAAGAAGUUUAUUUCCACAAAGUUUGUUUGAUUUGCAUGCAAAGUAUGUAUUCUAUCCGUCUUUUGCGGCACGAGGAUUGAAGAACAGCACUGACGAGGAGACGCGAACCACGUGAGUUUCGCAUGGAACAGCAACUACGAAUUUCCUUUUUAAUACUCGAAGAAACUAACAAAAGCUGUGCGGCCAAAAGACCCGACAAUCAAAUUGAUAUUGGCCCAGAAAAUUGUACUAUAGUUCUAGGAUGGCGAAUGGUUUGACUAUCGUGUUGAUCGCUUUGCAGUUACUAAUUUGUACCGCCUUUUAAUUCGUAUUUUUAUUAUUUUUGAACUAAAUUUACCAAGGUAUUUAAGAUUCCGUCUCGUUAAUAUCUCAGUUAUCGAUCUUCUAAUAUAUAUUUAUAUUCAAUAUGUACCUCGAAUUGUUGGUAGUUGCAAAAAACACUUUGAAGCUGUAAAGUACCGAAAUUCACGCUCGCUACUAAUUGCUUAAUGUAACCUUGUGAUUUGUUUAAGAUUAGAUUACAAAAAAUGUGUUGCAAAUAUAUUUUAAUACUAACUGUCAA